rnacentral:rRNA from 1 species
UGGAAACACGGGGGUGCCCCUUCGGGGGAGCCUGGAGACAGGUGCUGCAUGGCUGUUGUCAGCUCGUGUCGUGAGAUGUUGGGUUAAGUCCCGCAACGAGCGCAGCCCUUGCCUUUAGUUGCCAGCAUUCAGUUGGGCACUCUAAAGGGACUGCCGGUGUAAAACCGGAGGAAGGUGGGGAUGACGUCAAGUCCUCAUGGCCCUUAUGCCCAGGGCUACACACGUGCUACAAUGGCCGGUACAAAGGGCAGCGAGCCCGCGAGGGUCAGCAAAUCCCAAAAAGCCGGUCUCAGUUCGGAUCGGAGUCUGCAACCCGACUUCGUGAAGGUGGAAUCGCUAGUAAUCCCGGAUCAGCAUGCCGGGGUGAAUACGUUCCCGGGCCUUGUACACACCGCCCGUCACACCACGAAAGCUGG